rnacentral:rRNA from 1 species
AGUGAACGCUGGCGGUAGGCCUAACACAUGCAAGUCGAACGGCAGCACAGAGGAGCUUGCUCCUUGGGUGGCGAGUGGCGGACGGGUGAGGAAUACAUCGGAAUCUACUCUGUCGUGGGGGAUAACGUAGGGAAACUUACGCUAAUACCGCAUACGACCUACGGGUGAAAGCAGGGGAUCUUCGGACCUUGCGCGAUUGAAUGAGCCGAUGUCGGAUUAGCUAGUUGGCGGGGUAAAGGCCCACCAAGGCGACGAUCCGUAGCUGGUCUGAGAGGAUGAUCAGCCACACUGGAACUGAGACACGGUCCAGACUCCUACGGGAGGCAGCAGUGGGGAAUAUUGGACAAUGGGCGCAAGCCUGAUCCAGCCAUACCGCGUGGGUGAAGAAGGCCUUCGGGUUGUAAAGCCCUUUUGUUGGGAAAGAAAUCCAGCUGGCUAAUACCCGGUUGGGAU